rnacentral:misc_RNA from 1 species
GAAUAAUUCAUGAAUUAUGUUGAAAAGAGGGUUUUAUGAAAAGCAAAAAACAACGUUACUGGUGGGGUAUUAUAUUAAAAUGUGGCAAUCUUUCUUGCAAAAAAUAAAGUAUCAAGUCGAGUAUUGACGUCCAUAAACUGAUUAAUCUGAACCUGAAAGAUCAUGAAGAUACAUUUGUACCACCUCCACCAUUAGCAAGUGGUGAGGGUGAGAGUAGUAGCGCACAAGAGAUAAUCAACUUGGACGAGUCAAACUUUGAAAGUGAACUGAAAAAGUAUAAAUUUACUUUAGUGAUGUUCCAUGCUCCAUGGUGUAAAUUUUGCAAAGUCAUGAAAACAAUUUUUUAUCAACUAUCUCAGGAAAUUCCAAGUGAUGUAGCCAGGCUGGCUAUGCUCGAUGGAGAUGAAUUUCCUGAUAUUGUUUUAGACCAUGACGUUCAGGUUUUUCCUACUCUCAAACUAUACCGUCGAGGUGUAUUCGUGGAAACCUAUGAUGGUUCAGGUGAAUACUCCAGUCUACUAGAAUUCAUCCGAUUAAACACCGCGAAUAAAGUUAAAUGAUCGAAAAGACCUACCGUAGUAGGUAGAGUAAAAAUAUUAGACCCAAUUCAGCACUUUCAAAAUUUAAUUGUAAACUUCAUAGGACUUUGAACCUUUUCUCUGUUGUAACUGUUAGUGAUAAUCCAUUUCAUGUAGUCAAAUAUAUAAAAGCAAUGUACGGCCUAAGAAGAAUGGCCAAAUAAUAAUAAUAUCAAGGCUUGAAAUUAAAA